AGUCGAGCGGAGAUGAGGUGCUUGCACCUUAUCUUAGCGGCGGACGGGUGAGUAAUGCUUAGGAAUCUGCCUAUUAGUGGGGGACAACAUUCCGAAAGGGAUGCUAAUACCGCAUACGUCCUACGGGAGAAAGCAGGGGAUCUUCGGACCUUGCGCUAAUAGAUGAGCCUAAGUCGGAUUAGCUAGUUGGUGGGGUAAAGGCCUACCAAGGCGACGAUCUGUAGCGGGUCUGAGAGGAUGAUCCGCCACACUGGGACUGAGACACGGCCCAGACUCCUACGGGAGGCAGCAGUGGGGAAUAUUGGACAAUGGGGGGAACCCUGAUCCAGCCAUGCCGCGUGUGUGAAGAAGGCCUUAUGGUUGUAAAGCACUUUAAGCGAGGAGGAGGCUACUGAGACUAAUACUCUUGGAUAGUGGACGUUACCCGCAGAAUAAGCACCGGCUAACUCUGUGCCAGCAGCCGCGGUAAUACAGAGGGUGCGAGCGUUAAUCGGAUUUACUGGGCGUAAAGCGUGCGUAGGCGGCUUUUUAAGUCGGAUGUGAAAUCCCCGAGCUUAACUUGGGAAUUGCAUUCGAUACUGGGAAGCUAGAGUAUGGGAGAGGAUGGUAGAAUUCCAGGUGUAGCGGUGAAAUGCGUAGAGAUCUGGAGGAAUACCGAUGGCGAAGGCAGCCAUCUGGCCUAAUACUGACGCUGAGGUACGAAAGCAUGGGGAGCAAACAGGAUUAGAUACCCUGGUAGUCCAUGCCGUAAACGAUGUCUACUAGCCGUUGGGGCCUUUGAGGCUUUAGUGGCGCAGCUAACGCGAUAAGUAGACCGCCUGGGGAGUACGGUCGCAAGACUAAAACUCAAAUGAAUUGACGGGGGCCCGCACAAGCGGUGGAGCAUGUGGU
rnacentral:rRNA from 1 species